rnacentral:misc_RNA from 1 species
GAUGAAGAACGUAGCGAAAUGCGAUAAGUAAUGUGAAUUGCAGAAUUCAGUGAAUCAUCGGAUCUUUGAACGCACAUUGCGCCCGCCAGUAUUCUGGCGGGCAUGCCUGUCUGAGCGUCAUUUCAACCCUCAUGCCCCUAGGGCGUGGUGUUGGGGAUCGGCCAAAGCCCGCGAGGGACGGCCGGCCCCUAAAUCUAGUGGCGGACCCGUCGUGGCCUCCUCUGCGAAGUAGUGAUAUUCCGCAUCGGAGAGCGAUGAGCCCCUGCCGUUAAACCCCCAACUUUCCAAGGUUGACCUCAGAUCAGGUAGGAAUACCCGCUGAACUUAAGCAUAUCAAUAAGCGGAGGA